CGCACCAUAGUUUAUAUAUAAUAAAACAUUGACCUGCAGAAUCAAGAAAGGAAUUAAUCCUGGUGUGU
rnacentral:tRNA from 2 species